rnacentral:lncRNA from 1 species
UCUUUAUCCUUGAUCACGCAAACUUGUAUCAGAGUUCAUUGCCUAGCAGCAAGGGAGGUAUCCUGUUUCCUCACUUCUAAAUCCUUUAACAAAACCCUAGACUAGGUUCCAACCUCAAGCCCAAACUGCUCCUCUUCCAUAAGAAAGGUUCGGCUGAGGGCUCCAUAGAACCGUUGGAGGUCAUUCUUCUGCUAUAACC